UUUUCUCUAUAUCUCUCUCUCAAAUGGUUCUCUUCAAGUAUCAUCUAAGAACACAACUAUCUUAGUUUGGUUCAAGCUUUUGAUUGAGGAGUUUCUAGAGAAGUUGGAGUGCUGAGAAGGAAUUGGGGUGGUCAAAGUUCCCUACAACCACCUAGGAAUUUGAAUUCCCACAAGGUGGAAGUUGAGUUUGGAACUCAAAAGUUUCAAUUGACCUAUUUGAUUGAAUCUGAUGGUUGAGUUGGGGUUAAAAGUGAUAUAUGAAGUGAAUUCAAAGUGUCUUGAGGCUUGAAUUCUAGAAUUUCUAUGCUUUGAGGUUGGUUUUUGAGAUCUUAGGCCAGUUAUGGGCGAAUUUGGGGUUGAGAAAUUGCAGAAAAGAAACCAUGAAUUAUGGGUUUGCGUUGUGGUGCCCCUGUGCCGAAAUAGAGGACUUGAGAGGUACUUUAUUGCUUUUGAGCGCAACAACGCUAGGGGGUGGCACCCCUACGCUAUCACCACUUUAGCAUGUGUUUUUUUUUUUUUAGAUUUGGGCAAAAGCUCGAGGGCUCAGGGAUGGUUCCAUCACUCGGAUUGGUGGAAUUGAAAAUUCUGAGAGCUAGGGAUUAGUAUUGGAAUCUAUUUUCGGGAUUAGUUCUUAAUGUGGUUAUUGUUUAUGUUGUGACUAGAAGUACCGCAAGGAUCGAGAAAAGAAUCGUCCACAGGAGUCCAGAUCUUGUGUAAGCAAAUAUGGGGCAUAAGAAUUUUUGCAAUUUUAUUGUCAAAAUUCUGAUCACAAGAUGGAGAAGAAGAAAAAGUGUGACAGGCAACUGAGCACCGCGAUGCCCAACCCCUAGCACUGCAACGUUCAUAUGAUUCUAGCAAGCUUCAAAGCUCUGAGCGCUGCAACACCAUAUGCUCACCGCCACAACGCCCAAACCUAUCUGCCUACCUUAAGUGCUCAUGACACACCAAUACCCUAACCCCCUAAAAUAUCUUUUAUUGAAUUUGUUUUAAAUUAUUUGAAUUUCAAAUUAAUUAUCUUAUUUUGAUUUUGUUAGAAAAUUAAAAUAUUUUAAUUGGUUAGUGUUAUCCCCAAAAAUUGGAGAUCAAUGACGUGGCAAUAAAGGUGACAAGUGGCAGUGCAUGGUCAGUAAAAGACAUAUUAAUAGUCAAUAAAUACAUUGACUCCUCAGAGUUGUGAUAAAGUGACCCGGUAGACUGACGAAGAAUUUGGACUGCUUGAAAGAUGUCAUAACCAAGCCAAGUGCAUCCUAGGAGAGCUAAGGAAAGUGCAUCCUAGGAGAGCUAAGGAGAGUGCAUCCUAGGAGAUCCCAAGGAUGUGGUCCGAGGAGAACCCAAGAGAGUGGUCCUAGGAGACCCCAAGAGAGUGGUCCUAGGAGACCCCAAGGAUGUGGUCCGAGGAGAGCCCAAGAAUUUGGUAUUUAUGCGUAUGUCCAACAAGUGCAUGGUUGUCCAAAUAAAGAAAUGACAUGUUAGAGGAGAGUGCCAUAUUAGAGGAGAGGAGUGCAUGUCCUACCACCAUGCACAUAUCCGACCAGCAAAUGUUUGUCCUACCACCAUGCACAUGUCCGACCAGCACUUGCAUGAGUGGUCAGUAGCAGAGGUGAAUCAACUAGCUAGAGGAGGACUAAGUCAAGAUUCCCAGAAAUGGCUUCAACAAGAUACGCGGGAAUCUCUCAUUCUUCCCACAAAUGGGGGGUUUUGUUACAUUUUGAAUGUUUUUUGUAAUUUAAAUGUAAUAAAUAUAAUAAAAUAUCUCGAUUCUAGGGGAUAUCAGAUGUAUGACCCUAAGCCUAUAAAUAGAGGGCUUAUGGGAUUAGAGAGGGCUUCUUCUGCUUCUUCUUUCUAGAGAGAGAAAAUUUGGGUCUGAGUAUUCUAGAGAGAGAAAGUGCUGGUAUUUGAAAAGAUUCUUGUAUUUUUGCAAUCUGUACUGAAGAAACUCAGUUGGCUCAGUCCAUCUGAUCUUGAGUACAGAUCUACAAUCACAACUCUAAGUGAAUUUGGCUAUUAUCGACUGAUCGGGGCUGAACCACUAUAAAAUCUUCUGUGUUAUUUA